AGCCACACGCACGUUUGCAGGGCAUGGGUGGGAAUGAAAGGGAGUGUUGCAGAGCGCUCCAGCAUCCUCGUGUGCUCGCCCGGCUGCUCCGCUCCGCCACAGGCACACAGCUGGCCGGGAACGAGCGAGCCCGUGGAGCUCCUGUGCAGCCCGACAGGCUGAAACGUCCCAGAGAAGCCGUACAGGCAGAUCUGCCGAGGAGGAAAAUACAACAGCCCAUCAAAGCCUGGAGGUCAUUCAUCCUCAUUCUCUGGCACUUAUCAACAAACCCAGUGAACUUUUCUUUAAUGCAGACAUGCUAAACAGCAUCGAAGACAACGGAGAUGUACAUCCAUUAACAACAGCACAGCUGUCAUUUUAGACAUUAGCAUAAAAUGUUUGGUCAGAGAGAUUUCAUGCGCUAAAUAAAAGAUUUGCAAAGAGCCUGCCUGGUGAUGAACAGCCAGGGUGGAAAAGUCAUCCCAUAGUCCUGUUUUCCAACAACCUCUUUCAUGUAGGAGGCCCCGUGAGAUCCUUCACCAGCUAUUCAUCAAGUGCCACUGAAAUGUCCACUGGAGCUCUCUGGAGAAGAGUUUGAUACCAGAUAGUUAAAUGUUUUCUGUGCAGCGACAGUUCUCAGAAACCUUUUGAGAAUACCCUCCAGCAUUUUCUGGGAUGAUUAAAUACGACUUGGAAACCACGUUUCUCCAAUGAGAUCACGAGGAAAGGAAUUUCCUUGGUACAAAAUCCCCCUCUUGUUCCCUGGAUGAUGUCAGGUGGAGAAUCAAGACACUGGAUCUAAAGGUGGCACUGGCUGAAACCUUUGCCGGCUCCCUCCCCUGCCUGGCUGCAACCACAAGUUUCUCCGGGAGAGGAGUCCAGCAGCACAGCCAGGAGGCAUCGAUUCAAACGGCAUGCGAGGAGCUCACUGAACCACCAGUGCCUCCAUUUACCAAGGAGGUGGAGUAGAGACAACACCAGCUGUCCGCCUGUCUCAAGCUGGAUUCAGGCAGCACUUCAAAAAUAGCAAGAGUUGGUUUGGUAUCAGUUGUGAACCUGAUGGGGCUGGUCAGAACCACACGGGUUUCCUGGGCCGAGACCGCAGCAAGAAAUGAGCUUCGCAGUGUAACUGAGUGACGGUGUAUAGGAAGAACCCAUCCCCUAAAAAAAUGCUCACGGAGAGAAGAGCUUAAGGGAUGAUAUUAAGUUGGACAACCACGUUAAACUGCAUCUGAAAAGGAAAUUGGUAAUUCCUCAUCUAUUUUUUGAUGAAAAAUGGGGCUUUUUUUUUAUAAUGAAAAGCAUUUUUAUGGAGCAAUCCUGUGAGAUGCCAAAUGUUUUGGCCCUGAUCUAGCUAGAUAUUUAACCAUGCACUUCAUUUCUUAAGCUGCUCAUGUGCCUAACCAUUUUGCUGGAUCAAGCCCAGAGCUCUCAGCAUUUGGUGAGGUGUCAAAGGACCAGGGCUGUGUUUGCAGUAGCAUUACUGAACUCAGCAUAUAAUGAUUUUAAUCAUCAUACAGAAAACAUUUCCCGCAAAUGUACUAUCCAAUAAAAAUACUUAAAGAAACUUCCUUGGGAUUUUUCUCUUAGAUGUGUGUUUUCUGGGAUGUUUACUGGGCAAGGUAUUUGUGACCAAGGCAUUCUUAAGUAAAAUUCAGUGGGAGUUAUCAGAAAAAUGGUAUUAUUUUUAAAAAUCCAAGAUUCUCACCCAGUACCUGACUUUAAAUGUGAAGACCCACAUGGAAAGAAAUGGAGUGCGUGGCCCUUAAAUCCACUCCAAGCUGAUGAAGAUAGUUUGAAUAGUUCACAGACCUGAUUUAACAAAUCAUUUCAAACAACGGUUGGGGAAUUAUCAGCUGAUAUCAGACAACCAGUGGGCAGGGAGAGACCAAGUUCUUGAGCAAAGCAGUUGUUUGCAGAUGGCUGGGUUCAGAAAGGAAGGAUGGAAAAUGAACCUGCCUGCAGGUUAACAAAUGUGAUCUGGAGUGGCUGAGUUCCACUGGCCCUAUUGAAGGAAGUACAGUGAACAAGAAGCAAGCAGAAUUACACGGGAAAAGGUGAGCCUGAUAUCUAAUCUUCUCUGUUGUAAUGAUGGUGUUAAAUGUGCAUGUGCAAAGGGAACGGAUGAGAUGGCAUAACUAGAAAGAAUUUGUAGAAGAGAGCAGAGCAGAAACAGGCUCUGUCAAAGCCAAAAAGGAUGCAUGCCAACGUUGUUUCUCUUGGCAUAGGUCAAAAAGCAGGCUGUGUGACAGGAGAGAAAUUGGAGAAGACUGAGAUAAUGCCCAAUUAGAUCAUGCAGUUCUCCUCCCUGGGGCCCAUGAAAGACUGGUAAGGAAUUUUUCUGCUGGGAGGGAAAAAAGAAAUUUGAAAAACUUUCCUUCCCUCAAAAUACUUAAAACAAAACGCCGCUGAAAAAUGCUGUUUCCAGCUUAAUGUGUUCACUCCCUGUUGACUCUUACAUGAAAAAUACAUUCCGAUACCAACUGUGAAAAUGCACAGUAAGUC